GGAAUAUUGCACAAUGGGCGCAAGCCUGAUGCAGCAACGCCGCGUGAGGGAUGACGGCCUUCGGGUUGUAAACCUCUUUUAGUCAGGAAGAAGCCGCAAGGUGACGGUACUGGCAGAAAAAGCACCGGCUAACUACGUGCCAGCAGCCGCGGUAAUACGUAGGGUGCAAGCGUUGUCCGGAAUUAUUGGGCGUAAAGAGCUCGUAGGCGGCUUGUCGCGUCUGCCGUGAAAACCCCAGGCUCAACCUGGG
rnacentral:rRNA from 1 species